rnacentral:rRNA from 1 species
AUUGAACGCUGGCGGCAGGCCUAACACAUGCAAGUCGAGCGGAUGAAGGGAGCUUGCUCCUGGAUUCAGCGGCGGACGGGUGAGUAAUGCCUAGGAAUCUGCCUGGUAGUGGGGGAUAACGUCCGGAAACGGGCGCUAAUACCGCAUACGUCCUGAGGGAGAAAGUGGGGGAUCUUCGGACCUCACGCUAUCAGAUGAGCCUAGGUCGGAUUAGCUAGUUGGUGGGGUAAAGGCCUACCAAGGCGACGAUCCGUAACUGGUCUGAGAGGAUGAUCAGUCACACUGGAACUGAGACACGGUCUAGACUCCUACGGGAGGCAGCAGUGGGGAAUAUUGGACAAUGGGCGAAAGCCUGAUCCAGCCAUGCCGCGUGUGUGAAGAAGGUCUUCGGAUUGUAAAGCACUUUAAGUUGGGAGGAAGGGCAGUAAGUUAAUACCUUGCUGUUUUGACGUUACCAACAGAAUAAGCACCGGCUAACUUCGUG